AUUAGCCCAGUGAGCAGGACAUAAUAUUAGCCCAGUGAGCAGGACAGAAUAUUAGCCCAGUGAGCAGGACAGAAUAUUAGCCCAGUGAGCAGGACAGAAUAUUAGCCCAGUGAGCAGGACAGAAUAUUAGCCCAGUGAGCAGGACAGAAUAUUAGCCCAGUGAGCAGGACAGAAUAUUAGCCCAGUGAGCAGGACAGAAUAUUAGCCCAGUGAGCAAGACAGAAUAUUAGCCCAGUGAGCAAGACAGAAUAUUAGCCCAGUGAGCAGGACAGAAUAUUAGCCCAGUGAGCAGGACAGAAUAUUAGCCCAGUGAGCAGGACAGAAUAUUAGCCCAGUGAGCAGGACAGAAUAUUAGCCCAGUGAGCAAGACAGAAUAUUAGCCCAGUGAGCAAGACAGAAUAUUAGCCCAGUGAGCAGGACAGAAUAUUAGCCCAGUGAGCAGGACAGAAUAUUAGCCCAGUGAGCAAGACAGAAUAUUAGCCCAGUGAGCAGGUCAGAAUAUUAGCCCAGUGAGCAGGUCAGAAUAUUAGCCCAGUGAGCAGGUCAGAAUAUUAGCCCAGUGAGCAGGUCAGAAUAUUAGCCCAGUGAGCAGGUCAGAAUAUUAGCCCAGUGAGCAGGUCAGAAUAUUAGCCCAGUGAGCAGGUCAGAAUAUUAGCCCAGUGAGCAGGUCAGAAUAUUAGCCCAGUGAGCAGGUCAGAAUAUUAGCCCAGUGAGCAGGUCAGAAUAUUAGCCCAGUGAGCAGGUCAGAAUAUUAGCCCAGUGAGCAGGUCAGAAUAUUAGCCCAGUGAGCAGGUCAGAAUAUUAGCCCAGUGAGCAGGUCAGAAUAUUAGCCCAGUGAGCAGGUCAGAAUAUUAGCCCAGUGAGCAGGUCAGAAUAUUAGCCCAGUGAGCAGGUCAGAAUAUUAGCCCAGUGAGCAGGUCAGAAUAUUAGCCCAGUGAGCAGGUCAGAAUAUUAGCCCAGUGAGCAGGUCAGAAUAUUAGCCCAGUGAGCAGGACAGAAUAUUAGCCCAGUGAGCAGGUCAGAAUAUUAGCCCAGUGAGCAGGACAGAAUAUUAGCCCAGUGAGCAGGUCAGAAUAUUAGCCCAGUGAGCAAGACAGAAUAUUAGCCCAGUGAGCAAGACAGAAUAUUAGCCCAGUGAGCAGGUCAGAAUAUUAGCCCAGUGAGCAGGUCAGAAUAUUAGCCCAGUGAGCAGGUCAGAAUAUUAGCCCAGUGAGCAGGUCAGAAUAUUAGCCCAGUGAGCAGGUCAGAAUAUUAGCCCAGUGAGCAGGUCAGAAUAUUAGCCCAGUGAGCAGGUCAGAAUAUUAGCCCAGUGAGCAGGUCAGAAUAUUAGCCCAGUGAGCAGGACAGAAUAUUAGCCCAGUGAGCAGGUCAGAAUAUUAGCCCAGUGAGCAGGUCAGAAUAUUAGCCCAGUGAGCAGGACAGAAUAUUAGCCCAGUGAGCAGGACAGAAGGGUUCAGUGUCUUAGGUC